UGGGGAAUUUUGGACAAUGGGCGAAAGCCUGAUCCAGCAAUGCCGCGUGUGUGAAGAAGGCCUUCGGGUUGUAAAGCACUUUUGUCCGGAAAGAAAUGGCUCUGGUUAAUACCUGGGGUCGAUGACGGUACCGGAAGAAUAAGGACCGGCUAACUACGUGCCAGCAGCCGCGGUAAUACGUAGGGUCCAAGCGUUAAUCGGAAUUACUGGGCGUAAAGCGUGCGCAGGCGGUUGUGCAAGACCGAUGUGAAAUCCCCGAGCUUAACUUGGGAAUUGCAUUGGUGACUGCACGGCUAGAGUGUGUCAGAGGGGGGUAGAAUUCCACGUGUAGCAGUGAAAUGCGUAGAGAUGUGGAGGAAUACCGAUGGCGAAGGCAGCCCCCAGGGGUAACACUGACGCUCAUGCACGAAAGCGUGGGGAGCAAACAGG
rnacentral:rRNA from 1 species